UUGCUCACUUUGGCAGCACCUACACUAAAGUUGGAACAGUCUAAGAUUAGCAUGGGUCCUGUGCAAGAAUGGCAUGUAGAUUCAUGAUGCAGUUUAUAUUUUU
ensembl:snRNA U6 U6 spliceosomal RNA